AUUGAACGCUGGCGGCAUGCCUUACACAUGCAAGUCGAACGGCAGCGGGCCUUCGGGUGCCGGCGAGUGGCGAACGGGUGAGUAAUGCAUCGGAACGUGCCAUUGAGUGGGGGAUAACGUAGCGAAAGUUGCGCUAAUACCGCAUAUUCUGUGAGCAGGAAAGCAGGGGGACCGCAAGGCCUUGCGCUCUUUGAGCGGCCGAUGUCAGAUUAGCUAGUUGGUGAGGUAAAGGCUUACCAAGGCGACGAUCUGUAGCGGGUCUGAGAGGAUGAUCCGCCACACUGGAACUGAGACACGGUCCAGACUCUACGGGAGGCAGCAGUGGGGAAUUUUGGACAAUGGGGGCAACCCUGAUCCAGCCAAUGCCGCGUGAG
rnacentral:rRNA from 1 species